rnacentral:rRNA from 1 species
CACUAUGCCUAGCCCUAAACACAAACUACCCACCCACACCCCCGUUCGCCAGGGAACAACGAGCCCCAGCUUAAAACCCAAAGGACUUGGCGGUGCUUUAGACCCCCCUAGAGGAGCCUGUUCUAGAACCGAUACUCCCCGUUCAACCUCACCCUCUCUUGUUUCCCCCGCCUAUAUACCGCCGUCGUCAGCUUACCCUGUGAAGGCCCAACAGUAAGCAAAAUUGGCAAAGCCCAAAACGUCAGGUCGAGGUGUAGCGUACGGGAGGGGAAGAAAUGGGCUACAUUUACUGAACCAGUAAACACGGACAUUGCACUGAAAUAAGCAUCUGAAGGAGGAUUUAGCAGUAAGGAGAAUACAGAGUGCUCCCCUGAAAAUGGCCCUGAAGCGCGCACACACCGCCCGUCACUCUCCCCAAAACCUGCAACUCAUAAAUAAUACAAUUAAGCCCAACACAAAGGGGAGGCAAGUCGUAA